AGGGCGUUGAAGGGCGUAGGCUAUGAUGAUGCCAGGCAAAUCCGGCGUUUGAGCUGAAACCCGAAAGUACGGGGUCCCCUUCGGGGGAACCUGAGAGCGAGGGUAAGCAUACUCCCGAGAAAAUGGGCUAAACUCAUGUUGGCGGUACCCGUACCGCAAACCGACACAGGUAGUUGGGUAGAACAUACUAAGGCGUUGAGAGAUUCAUGGCUAAGGAACUAGGCAAACUGACCCCGUAACUUCGGGAUAAGGGGUCCUCACCUCCGGGUGAGGCGCAGAGAAUAGGUCCAGGCAACUGUUUAACAAAAACACAGGGCUGUGCGAACUCGAAAGAUGAAGUAUACAGCCUGACACCUGCCCGGUGCCGGAAGGUUAAGAGGAGAUGUCACCGCAAGGGAAGCAUUGAAUUGAAGCCCCGGUAAACGGCGGCCGUAACAAUAACGGUCCUAAGGUAGCGAAAUUCCUUGUCGGGUAAGUUCCGACCUGCACGAAUGGUGUAAUGAUCCGGACGCUGUCUCGGCCAUGAGCUCAGUGAAAUUGUAGUAUCGGUGAAGAUGCCGAUUACCCGCGAUGGGACGAAAAGACCCCGUGAACCUUUACUACAGCUUAGCAUUGACCUUGGUCAUCCGAUGUGUAGGAUAGGCCGGAGGCUUCGAAGCGGCGUCGCCAGGCGUUGUGGAGCCAUCCUUGAAAUACGGCCCUUUGGCUGUCUGAGGUCUAACGCGGAUAGUCGCGGACACUGCUUGGUGGGUAGUUUGACUGGGGUGGUCGCCUCCAAAAGCGUAACGGAGGCUUCCAAAGGUGCCCUCGGGCCGUUUGGUAAGCGGCCUUCAAGAGUGCAAUGGCAAAAGGGCGCUUGACUGGGAGGGAGACAUCCCGAGCAGGCAGGAAACUGGGGCAUAGUGAUCCGGCGGAUGUGUAUGGAAACUCCGUCGCUCAAAGGAUAAAAGGUACUCCGGGGAUAACAGGCUGAUCCCCCCCAAGAGCUCAUAUCGACGGGGUGGUUUGGCACCUCGAUGUCGGCUCGUCACAUCCUGGGGCUGGAGAAGGUCCCAAGGGUUGGGCUGUUCGCCCAUUAAAGUGGCACGCGAGCUGGGUUCAGAACGUCGUGAGACAGUUCGGUCUCUAUCUAUCGUGGGCGCAGGAGUUUUGAGUGGUGCUGUCACUAGUACGAGAGGACCGUGACGGACAGACCUCCGGUGUACCGGUUGUGCCGCCAGGCGCACCGCCGGGUAUCCGCGUCUGGAUCGGAUAAGCGCUGAAAGCAUCUAAGUGCGAAGCUUUCCACGAGAUUAGAACUCCAUUGAGGGUCGUCGCAGACGACGACGUUGAUAGGGCGCAGGUGUAAAGACGGCGACGUCAAAGCCGAGCGCUACUAAUUGCCC
rnacentral:rRNA from 1 species